UGGGGAAUUUUGCACAAUGGGGGAAACCCUGAUGCAGCGACGCCGCGUGAUUUAGAAGGCCUUCGGGUUGUAAAAAUCUUUUCUAUGGGAAGAAAAUGACAGUACCAUAGGAAUAAGGACCGGCUAAUUCCGUGCCAGCAGCCGCGGUAAUACGGAAGGUCCAGGCGUUAUCCGGAUUUAUUGGGUUUAAAGGGAGCGUAGGCUGUUUGUUAAGCGUGUUGUGAAAUGUAAGAGCUCAACUUUUAGAUUGCAGCGCGAACUGGCAGACUUGAGUGCGCACAACGUAGGCGGAAUUCAUGGUGUAGCGGUGAAAUGCUUAGAUAUCAUGACGAACUCCGAUUGCGAAGGCAGCUUACGGGAGCGCAACUGACGCUAAAGCUCGAAGGUGCGGGUAUCGAACAGG
rnacentral:rRNA from 1 species